rnacentral:lncRNA from 1 species
GUGGGUGGGGCUCGCGAUUUGAGUCGGGACUAGCGGAUUCGCCGGAGGCUCUGGUCUCCCAGCAAGAGGACAAAUGUGCCGGGAUGUAUGCAGGCAAGCCAGAAGAGGAGAGUCCAGGACCAGUAAAUCAGGUCAGUAAAUGCACUAUUCUGUCAGGGGCCAAGUUACCACUGAAGAGGUAAGACAAGUGAUGGUUGAGGAUCAUAAAUGUGAUUCAAGGACAGCAGAAAUUACCAAGAAGAAAGGGAAAUGUCUGUCAGAUGUGGCACCAAUCUCUUAGUUUCCCCUUAGUAAUACUCCACUGAGAGUAGUUAGAGAAGCUAGUGGGCCAUUGAGAUGGCAGGGUGCCAGCAGCAUUUGGACCCACAGCUUCUGCAACAUUCAAUGCCAGGGCCUGCAGCUGUGGUGGGUGCAGCAGCCUCAGAGGAUGUGAAGUAGACCUCCCCAGAAGUAUCUAUCCUUUUCAGAGAACACCAGCAGAUUAACAGUCACUUUGGACAUUGGAAGCUGCAGCAAACACCUCAAUAUAAUAAGUUGACACAGGAGCAAAGGGAAUGAAUGGUCCAACCCAUGGAGCAGUCAGGGAAGCUGGUCAGGGAAAAGGCAGGGGAGACACCCCUAAGGGGUCCCCAGGCUAUAUGUGAGGAAUUAAAGGGGUCUGGACUUCCCGUACUGUUGUUAGAAACUAAGGAAAAAAUACUACUAAUAAGAUAAAUGUCUGUGGUUGUCUUACAUCUUAGCUGGGUAUGUAGGAAUUUAGGUUAUAUGAAAAUUAUUUAGAAUUAAGCUUUCUUUCUUUCUUUCUUUUUUUCUUUUUCUUUCCUUUUUCUCCUGGUCACCCAUGGCAUAUAGAGUUCCCAGGUCAAGGGUAGGAUCUGACCUAUGCCACAGCUGCGGCAAUGCCAGAUCCUUUAACUCACUUGCCAGGCUGGGGAUUGAACCAUCCUAUUGUGCCACAGCAGGAACUCUAGAAGUAAGUUUUCUUAAGGAGUCACAAAACUUUUCUUUUUUGUUUUUUAGGGCUGCACCUGUGGCAUAUAGAGGUUCCCGGGCUAGGGGUUGAAUCAGAUCUGCAGCUGUUGGCCUACACCACAGCUGUAGCAAUGUGGAAUCAGAGCCACAUCUGUGACCUACGCCAUAGCUCAGGGCAACAUUGGAUCCUUAACCCACUGAGCGAGGCCAGGGAUUGAAUCUGCAUCCUCAUGGAUACUAGUAAGAUUCAUUUCUGCUGAGCCAUGAUGGGAAUUCCAACACAGGAUUAUUCCAACUCCCUCUCUUUCCCUCAGGGUUUGCUGACUUUACCUAUAAUGUCUUCUCAUGUUGCCUCACCCUAAAAGAAUUAGGACUAUCUAAGGCAGCAUUUAACUGGAAACCCAACUAAGGUUUGUGAGGCUGAACAAAUAAAGUUUUAUUUAAAUUUUUUUUUUAAUUUUGAUUUUUCUUUUUUCUUUAAAUUUUGUUCUGAGGUAUUUAUUUUUGAAUAUGCAAAAAUUUUAUUUAUUUAAAUAAUUUUUAUUUUUUCCAUUAUAGUUGGUUUACAGUGCUGAGUAAUCACUUUUCUACUGUACAGCAAAGUGACCCAGUCACACAUGCAUAUAUACAUUCAUUUUCUCACAUUACCCUCCAUUAUUCUCCAUCACAAGUGACUAGAUAUAGUUCCCAGUGCUACACAGCAGGAUCUCAUAGCUAAUCCAUUCUGAAUGCAAUACUUUAUAUCUAUUAACCCCAGAUUCCCAGUCCAUCCCACUCCCACCCCCUUCCCCUUGGUAAUCACAAGUCUGUUCUCCAAGUCCAUGAGUUUCUUUUCUGUGGAAAGGUUAUUUGUGCCAUAUAUUAGAUUCCAGAUGUGUGAUAUCAUAUGGUAUUUGUCUUUCUCUUUCUGACUUCACUUAGUAUGAGAGCCUAUAGUUGCAUCCAUGUUGCUGCAAAUGGCAUUAUUUUGUUCUUUUUUAUGGCUGUGAGGUAUUCCAUUGUGUAUAUAUACCAUAUCUUCUUAAUCAAUUCAUCUUGUCAGUGGACAUUGAGGUUGUUUCCAUGUCUUGGCUAUUAUGAAUGGUGCUGCAAUGAACAUAUGGGUGCAUGUGUCUAUUUCAAGGAAAGUUUUGUCUGGAUAUAUGCCCAUUAUAGUUGAUUUGCCAUAAUCCAUCAAUUUCUACUGUACAGCAAAGGUUUAUUUCUUACUUAACAGUAAAUCUGGAAUUGUCAUUCUUCUGACCUGGUUUCAAGAGCUCAGUGAAGAGAAACACAAUUGUAGAAAUCAAGUCUGUUUUUGAGACAGGAAGAAGGUAGAAAUGAGAAGGUGGGCCAAGGACUCAGCAGGAGGAUUUUAUGUUAUAUCAAGAAACAAAAGCUCCAGAAGGCUUCCAGUUAUGUUUCCUUGGCC